rnacentral:rRNA from 1 species
AUUGAACGCUGGCGGCAGGCUUAACACACGCAAGUCGAGCGGGGGAAGGUAGCUUGCUACUGGACCUAGCGGCGGACGGGUGAGUAAUGCUUAGGAAUCUGCCUAUUAGUGGGGGACAACAUCUCGAAAGGGAUGCUAAUACCGCAUACGUCCUACGGGAGAAAGCAGGGGAUCUUCGGACCUUGCGCUAAUAGAUGAGCCUAAGUCGGAUUAGCUAGUUGGUGGGGUAAAGGCCUACCAAGGCGACGAUCUGUAGCGGGUCUGAGAGGAUGCUCCGCCACACUGGGACUGAGACACGGCCCAGACUCCUACGGGAGGCAGCAGUGGGGAAUAUUGGACAAUGGGGGGAACCCUGAUCCAGCCAUGCCGCGUGUGUGAAGAAGGCCUUAUGGUUGUAAAGCACUUUAAGCGAGGAGGAGGCUACUUUAGUUAAUACCUAGAGAUAGUGGACGUUACUCGCAGAAUAAGCACCGGCUAACUCUGUGCCAGCCGCCGCAGUAA